CUGGGAUGUAUGGAAAUGGGAAGGGUGCGAAUGUCCUGAUGAACAGGGCUGAUGCAUUGGCCUCUCAUUUCAUUCUUGGAUUUGGGGAAUUAGAAAGGUUGAGGAGAUGGAGCUUCAGGCCUUCAGCAGCUCAGACUGAACCCUCACCAGGCUUAUUCAUGGAGUAAAUAAGAAAAGGAGUUUUUUUCUUCAGACAAAGUCUGCGUGGAGGGCAUAGACACUGAAAGCAUUUAAGAGCAACAAAAGAAGGCCAGGUCAUGUGGUGACCGAAUGCAGGUUGCUGUUGCAAGAGCCAGGAGCAACAAACCACAUUUGAAACAGAAUCACUGUUGGAGAAACUACCAUGAUGGCCUCACUUUGGGCAAGGAAGCCACAUCAUGCUUCGUUACUGUCAUGCUGCAAGCCUGGAGCUGCUGCACACACCAUAACCCUGAGGAGGAGCUCUGUACCUUGUCUUGAUGGCAUUGACUCCAAAGCCAAAAACUGUAUGUGGCCAUGAAAUGAGCUAAGUGAAGGAUUUAUGUCAUUUUUUCUUUCUUGGAACAGGGAGGGA
ensembl:lncRNA